GACGAACGCUGGCGGCGUGCCUAAUACAUGCAAGUAGAACGCACAGUUUAUACCGUAGCUUGCUACACCAUAGACUGUGAGUUGCGAACGGGUGAGUAACGCGUAGGUAACCUGCCUGGUAGCGGGGGAUAACUAUUGGAAACGAUAGCUAAUACCGCAUAAUAUUAAUUAUUGCAUGAUAAUUGAUUGAAAGAUGCAACUGCAUCACUACCAGAUGGACCUGCGUUGUAUUAGCUAGUAGGUGAGGUAACGGCUCACCUAGGCGACGAUACAUAGCCGACCUGAGAGGGUGAUCGGCCACACUGGGACUGAGACACGGCCCAGACUCCUACGGGAGGCAGCAGUAGGGAAUCUUCAGCAAUGGACGAAAGUCUGACCGAGCAACGCCGCGUGAGUGAAGAAGGUUUUCGGAUCGUAAAGCUCUGUUGUAAGAGAAGAACGGGUGUGAGAGUGGAAAGUUCACACUGUGACGGUAUCUUACCAGAAAGGGACGGCUAACUACGUG
rnacentral:rRNA from 1 species